UCUCCGUAGGUGAACCUGCGGAGGGAUCAUUACCGAGUGAGGGUUCCGGCCCGACCUCCAACCCUUUGUGAAUUCGACCCAGUUGCCUCGGGGGCGACCCGGCCUUCGGGCGUCGGGGCCCCCGGAGGCCAUUAAACACUGCAUCAUUGCGUCGGAGUUUAAGUAAAUUAAACAAAACUUUCAACAACGGAUCUCUUGGUUCGGGCAUCGAUGAAGAACGCAGC
rnacentral:misc_RNA from 1 species